rnacentral:rRNA from 1 species
GAUUCGUCACACUAUCAUUAACUGAAUCCAUAGGUUAAUGAGGCGAACCGGGGGAACUGAAACAUCUAAGUACCCCGAGGAAAAGAAAUCAACCGAGAUUCCCCCAGUAGCGGCGAGCGAACGGGGAGGAGCCCAGAGCCUGAAUCAGCAUGUGUGUUAGUGGAAGCGUCUGGAAAGGCGCGCGAUACAGGGUGACAGCCCCGUACACAAAAGCGCAUGUGCUGUGAGCUCGAUGAGUAGGGCGGGACACGUGGUAUCCUGUCUGAAUAUGGGGGGACCAUCCUCCAAGGCUAAAUACUCCUGACUGACCGAUAGUGAACCAGUACCGUGAGGGAAAGGCGAAAAGAACCCCGGCGAGGGGAGUGAAAAAGAACCUGAAACCGUGUACGUACAAGCAGUGGGAGCACAGGUUUACCUGUGUGACUGCGUACCUUUUGUAU